AUUAAUUUACGAAAUUUAUAAAAAGCUUUAAAAUUCUAAGAAACUUUAACCAUAAGAGCAAACUCGGCCACAUUGCUGCACCCUUAAAUUAAUCACAGUAUUGGUAUAUAUUCUGCACUGCAAAUUUUCACAAGCCGAAGAAGAACUACAAGAAUAUGCUCCCAAAUACAUAUUAAUAAGUAAUAUAUCCUAACUACACCUUUUGGAUUUUGAGUUUUCACGAUUUUGGGUUGUCUGGAUUUUGAUUUCCGGGAUUAUGAGCUUUCGGGAUUUGGGUAUAUAUGUUUUUUUGAAUUUCAGAUUUUCGGGACUUCUAACCAAAAUUUAAUUGAAACAAAUUUCCUAUUAAUCCGAUUCGGUAGCUGGUACUACAAAACAU